UUUAAUGACUGUAGAGACCUGUGAUGCUAAUUACUGGACACAUCGUGAAUUAAUAUGUCCUUUUGGUCACAUUAAAUUUAUUUUUUAUUUAUUUUCAGUCUUUUCUAGGAGUACCACCAUUUUUGUCCACACCUCUUUCAUGAGUUAUAUAUUUUUAAACUCUUUUGAAGCAAUGUUGAAAAGCAAUGUCUGACUUUCAUUGGUUAAAUUUCAUAGAUUUUUUUCAUUUACAUACAUAUACAUUUUUUUAUUUUUUUAAAUAGUCGAAAUACGGAGUAAUUCCAUUUUCUGGAACAUAUGCUGUUUUUUUCAAUUGGCCAGGUGGCACUGGGACUCCUUCAGUCCUUCUGGUUCUGCUGUCAGAAGAAGAACAGGCAAAGCUGAAAGGUAGCAAGGAGCUGUUCCAGAGUAGCGCUUCAGAGAGACAGUUCAAAGAUAUCAUCACGGAGCUGUCAUCAUCGUCAACGUGCUUCUUUCCGCAGAUGUCACCGGAAAUAAAGAGUUUCUCUUGGAAGAAAGACUACUGCAGUGGCUCAGCCAACUGAAACAGCAAAGUGUUUGGAGGACAGGCCGGGACAGGAUCAAGGCACACCAAUGACCCCUAGAGGAGGUCAGAUACACCACAACAGCAACCCACAUCAUGGCCUGGUUUCUCCAGCUGUCUCUGCAUCAAUGAAUUAAAAAAAUGGAAUGGGCAGCAAAUGUUCACCAUAACAACAACAUUACUACAGAUUAUUAACAGUAAAUAAGCGUGUAAUCAUCAUAAUAGUUAAUUUGUGUUCCCUAAUCUAAAGUGUUACCAUACUGAUAUAAAUCCACUAAGGCGUUUAUGCUUCGGUCAGAUUCGGUUUAUGUGUUUGUCUGUCUGCAUUCAGAAUAACUAUUUUGAAUUGCACUGGUGAUGUCGUGGUUUGUGCUUUUACUUUGUCACUUCCCGGUUCCUUGUUUUCCUGUUUGCUCUCUCACCCCCUCCAGCUUCAUGGCCUCCGCAGAGAUUUAUACCCUGGAGAACCAGCAUGUGCUGCCAGAUGAUCGUCUUAUGUUCUCGUGGUUUACCCCCUCCGUUCCUGUUUGUUCUCCGCGCUCCGCUUCUGGUGUUGUCGCAUUCAGUUUAGAUUUCUGUCUGUAUUAUUUUCUCUUUAUUGUAAUAAAUCUCGUGAUUAACAGAACUCUCGCUUUGUCUGAGUCCUCUGAGUUUGGAGUCAUCUGCUCUUGGGUCACUUAGAUUAGCAGACAAGACAGAUGAUGCAAAAUGUGACUCAAGUUCGGCACUGAAUUAAUCACUGGCUACUGUUGUUACGACGUUGACAGAUUAAUACAGGGAAGUGGGUGUUGGCAACAGCAGAAACACAUUUUUUUUUUUGGACAUUGCCAUGUUAAUUAAAAUAGUUGUGCUGUUGAGUUGUGUGGUCUGCUGUUGAGUUAUAGUGCAACAUGCGUGCAUCAGAGCUUAAAAGGACUGGACCCAAAAAUUGCUUCAACACAAUGAUGGACUCUUGGAAUUGCACCCUUCUUCAGAUAUUUCAGCAUAUAAAACAGUUGUCUCAAAGGGUCACGGUGGGUGCAUUAUCAGUUAAUUGUUAGUCCGGUGCUGCUUGUUUCAGCUGGCAUCUGAUUGGUGAAACUGAGAGAGCUUUAUUGGCUGAAACAAACACCUGCACCCACUGCGACCCCUUUGUGGAUUAGUUUGAGACCCCUGGCAUAGAAUGUAUCAAGUUAGAACGUCUGGGCCAGCCCUCCUUACUUUUCAAAGUUUUGAACUUGACUUGGAAAACAAUGUGAAAACCCAGAAAUGGAGUUUAAGUUUAAGCUACAGUGUACAUCAACUAAUUUACUUCCAUGAAUACAUAAGAUCACAUCA